GGAACGGUGCCCGAGAGGCUGAAGGGGCCGGAUUGCUAAUCCGGUGUACGGGGUAAACCCGUACCGAGGGUUCGAAUCCCUCCCGUUCCGC
rnacentral:tRNA from 1 species